rnacentral:rRNA from 1 species
UACGUAGGGUGCAAGCGUUGUCCGGAAUUAUUGGGCGUAAAGAGCUCGUAGGCGGUUUGUUGCGUCGGCUGUGAAAUCCCGAGGCUCAACCUCGGGUCUGCAGUCGAUACGAGCAAAACUAGAGUGUUGCAGGGGAGACUGGAAUUCCUGGUGUAGCGGUGAAAUGCGCAGAUAUCAGGAGGAACACCGGUGGCGAAGGCGGGUCUCUGGGCAACAACUGACGCUGGAGGAGCGAAAAGCGUGGGGAGCGAACAGG